CGUUCUCAGAAGAAGUUUCCAAUUCACACAAUCAAUGAACACUUAUUACAUUUUUAAUAUGUGAUAACUCUCAAUCCUCACCAAUUCUCUCUAAAGAAGGCUCUAGCAGGAGAUUCCUCUAGCUACAUGUGUUAAACCACUAUCUUACCACAAGGCUUAUGUGCACAAAGUGAAAUAUAGCAAGUGUCCUGAUAUCCAGAUUCUCAUAAACACAACCAACUCCUAGUGGCAUAUUUUGUCACUCAAGCACAUAGGUAUAGACAUGCAGCAACUCAGAAGUCCAAGCAAAAAUGUAAACUUUUUCACAAUUCCAAUGUGAUAACUCUCAAUCCUCACCAAUUCUCUCUAAAGAAGGCUCUAGCAGGAGAUUCCUCUCGCUACAUGUGUUAAACCACUAUCUUACCACAAGGCUUGUUGGCAUAAAGUGAAAUAUAGCAAGUGUCCUGAUAUCCAGAUUCUCAUAAACACAACCAACUCCUAGUGGCAUAUUUUGUCACUCAAGCACAUAGGCAUAGACAUGCAGCAACUCAGAAGUCCAGGCAAAAAUGUAAAAUUUUUCACAAUUCCAUGAUCACACAAUUUAUCAUGCAAUGCAAUUCACAAACAAAAUGUAUCCUCCCCCCAACUAAAAGUUACAUUGUCCUCAAUGCAUAAACAUGUCUCCAAAAAUAAAGAAGGGGAAAGGUAUCACCUGAGUGCUG
rnacentral:lncRNA from 1 species